UAAAAAAGAAAUUUACUUUUUCUUAUGAAAAAAAACUCUUCUCCUAUGGUGAUUAGGAAAUCGGUUUGGCUAUAUAAGGAGGAGCUAGGAUGUUUUGGAGAGGUAAAAGAGUUGAAGCAUAAAGAAGAAAUCUUUGAGAGCUUUCUGUGAGAUUGUGUGCAACUUAGUUUUGUGGGUUUUAUACUUGUGUGAUCAAGUGGUUUUGUUUUAAAGUCUAGGCUCAUGCGAGUUUAGCUCAGGGUUAGGUUAUCCUGAUUAAAUAUAGACUCAGAGAGAGUUUAGUUAAGGGUAGAGGUUAUCCUUAGGGUUUCACGUUAAUAGAAGGGAGCGGUAAAUCAAAAGGGUUGUGCUUGUUUUACGCGUUUGUGAAUUGGUUGUAAUUUGCUUUCUUAUUCUGGUGAAAUCGAAUCUAGACUUGAUCCCGGGGAGUAGAAAAAACUGAACCUCGUUAACAAAUUUCUUGUCUCGUUUUACUUUGUAAAAUGUAUCUUAUUUAUAGAGAAUGAAUCUUCGUGCGCUUAGCACCUAAGUUUUCUUUGAACACUGAUUUUAAAUUUGUAAUCAGUUUUGUAUAUU
rnacentral:sRNA from 1 species